rnacentral:miRNA from 10 species
GGACGCUGUUGACUGGUCGUUCUAGUUCGGUGAAGUGUUUGCUAAAGUGCUUAUAGUGCAGGUAGUAUUGAUACCUGGCCUACCGCCCUGUAAGCACUUAUCUCAAACGCUGGCACGAUAGUCCUCUGUCUGACCAGG